rnacentral:rRNA from 1 species
GGGACACGUGGUAUCCUGUCUGAAUAUGGGGGGACCAUCCUCCAAGGCUAAAUACUCCUGACUGACCGAUAGUGAACCAGUACCGUGAGGGAAAGGCGAAAAGAACCCCGGCGAGGGGAGUGAAAAAGAACCUGAAACCGUGUACGUACAAGCAGUGGGAGCACGCUUAGGCGUGUGACUGCGUACCUUUUGUAUAAUGGGUCAGCGACUUAUAUUCUGUAGCAAGGUUAACCGAAUAGGGGAGCCGAAGGGAAACCGAGUCUUAACUGGGCGUUAAGUUGCAGGGUAUAGACCCGAAACCCGGUGAUCUAGCCAUGGGCAGGUUGAAGGUUGGGUAACACUAACUGGAGGACCGAACCGACUAAUGUUGAAAAAUUAGCGGAUGACUUGUGGCUGGGGGUGAAAGGCCAAUCAAACCGGGAGAUAGCUGGUUCUCCCCGAAAGCUAUUUAGGUAGCGCCUCGUGAAUUCAUCUCCGGGGGUAGAGCACUGUUUCGGCAAGGGGGUCAUCCCGACUUACCAACCCGAUGCAAACUGCGAAUACCGGAGAAUGUUAUCACGGGAGACACACGGCGGGUGCUAACGUCCGUCGUGAAGAGGGAAACAACCCAGACCGCCAGCUAAGGUCCCAAAGUCAUGGUUAAGUGGGAAACGAUGUGGGAAGGCCCAGACAGCCAGGAUGUUGGCUUAGAAGCAGCCAUCAUUUAAAGAAAGCGUAAUAGCUCACUGGUCGAGUCGGCCUGCGCGGAAGAUGUAACGGGGCUAAACCAUGCACCGAAGCUGCGGCAGCGACGCUUAUGCGUUGUUGGGUAGGGGAGCGUUCUGUAAGCCUGUGAAGGUGUGCUGUGAGGCAUGCUGGAGGUAUCAGAAGUGCGAAUGCUGACAUAAGUAACGAUAAAGCGGGUGAAAAGCCCGCUCGCCGGAAGACCAAGGGUUCCUGUCCAACGUUAAUCGGGGCAGGGUGAGUCGACCCCUAAGGCGAGGCCGAAAGGCGUAGUCGAUGGGAAACAGGUUAAUAUUCCUGUACUUGGUGUUACUGCGAAGGGGGGACGGAGAAGGCUAUGUUGGCCGGGCGACGGUUGUCCCGGUUUAAGCGUGUAGGCUGGUUUUCCAGGCAAAUCCGGAAAAUCAAGGCUGAGGCGUGAUGACGAGGCACUACGGUGCUGAAGCAACAAAUGCCCUGCUUCCAGGAA